AGUGAACGCUGGCGGUAGGCCUAACACAUGCAAGUCGAACGGCAGCACAGUAAGAGCUUGCUCUUACGGGUGGCGAGUGGCGGACGGGUGAGGAAUACAUCGGAAUCUACUUUUUCGUGGGGGAUAACGUAGGGAAACUUACGCUAAUACCGCAUACGACCUACGGGUGAAAGCAGGGGAUCUUCGGACCUUGCGCGAUUGAUUGAGCCGAUGUCGGAUUAGCUAGUUGGCGGGGUAAAGGCCCACCAAGGCGACGAUCCGUAGCUGGUCUGAGAGGAUGAUCAGCCACACUGGAACUGAGACACGGUCCAGACUCCUACGGGAGGCAGCAGUGGGGAAUAUUGGACAAUGGGCGCAAGCCUGAUCCAGCCAUACCGCGUGGGUGAGGAAGGCCUUCGGGUUGUAAAGCCCUUUUGUUGGGAAAGAAAAGCAGCAGGUUAAUACCCCGCUGUUCUGACGGUACCCAAAGAAUAAGCACCGGCUAACUUCGUG
rnacentral:rRNA from 1 species